CUUCCACAGACUCAAUCAAAUGCCUUUAUUUUCAUUAUGGAUCAAAGCCAUUUUUGUCAUCUCGGCCUUGGCUCCUUAUUCAGAAGCUUCCAUAAAACCAGAUCGUAUACAGAAUUGGAUAGACUGCAAUACAUUUUCCACGAG